GAAAUACAAAGAGAUAACAUUACUAUUAGUGUAGUAGAUGUAAACGGCUAAGUACUAACAGUCAGAUUAAAAGGGAAAUUUAAGCUUUUUCUUUCAGCGAGUAAUCCACUGGAACAUAGAAUGUAGAACAAUCCAGCAAAGGAGCAGGCCCUACCGGCCAUAAUAUCUGUGCCGAACAUGAUUCCAAGAUAAACUAAUCUCCUCUGCUUGCACAUGAUCCACACUCUUCCAUUUCCUGCCUUUGCACGUCCCUAUUUAUAAGCCUCUUAAAUGCCACUAUCCUAUCUGCCUCCACCACCACCAGGCUUCCACCAGCUGCUGUGUAAAUAAAAAUUUUCCCCACACACCUCCAUUAAACUUUGCUUCUCUCAUCUUAAAUCUAUGCGAAGGUCGCACAACAGAACAAUUGCUGCCUUACAGCGCCAGAGACCUGGAUUCAAUCCUGACUAUGGAUGCUAUCUGUAAGGUUUUUACCGCAUGGGUUUUCUCCAGGAGCUCUGAUUUCCUCCCACAUUCCAAAAAAAAUGGAAGGUUUGUAGGUUGAUUGGCUCCUGUAAAAUCUGUCUCUCAUGUGUCAGAUAGAACUAGUGUAUGGGUGAUAGCUGACUGGCACGGACUUGGUGGACUGAUGUGCAUGUUCUUGGUGGACCAAAGGGCAGUGAAUUGUACAAUACUUUGAAAGGAGUUACAAGAAAUGGGAUUCACAAGAACAAUAACUUCUAGAUGAGGAGAUUGAACAGAGAGAGUAUUCUGAAAGUAUGGAUAGAAAAUACAUAAGAGACUGUGACUAUCCUGCUUACAUUAAUGGGACGACGGUGGAGAGGGUCAAAAAGUUCAAAUUCCUGUGCAUGCAUCUUUCCUGGACCCAGCACACGGAUGCAAUCAUAAAGAAAGCACAUCAACGCCUCUACUUCUUGGGAAGAUUCGGUAUGUCAAAGAGCCGAAACGUCGCCUAUUUUCUUCGCUCCAUAGAUGCUGCUGCACCCGCUGAGUUUCUCCAGCAAUUUUGUGUACCUUCUCUUGAACCU